CAACCCUCAAGCACUGCUUGGUGUUGGGGCACUGCCUUUUCCGGAAGGCAGGCCCUGAAAUUCAGUGGCGAGCUCGCCAGGACCCCGAGCGCAGUAGUUAAACCCUCGCUUUGGAAGGCCCUGGCGGUGCCCUGCCGUUAAACCCCCAACUCUUGAAA
rnacentral:misc_RNA from 1 species